rnacentral:lncRNA from 10 species
GCCAUCUUUGUUAAGGGAGAGUGGGCCUGUCUCAUCCAUUGAAUUCACAAAAGAAAAGGGGCGUGAGGGAGGAGGUCUUUAGCUGCAAAGACAGAGACUCUAACACGCGUAACAAAGGCCCAGAGAUCCGAUCCAGACACAGAGCAAGGCAGAGACCCACAGAGGUUGGAUGAGGCAAUAAGAGAGCUGGGAGGAGAGGGAGAGUGGGGAAAGUGAAGGAUACUUUUUUUUCGGACAGUUACAGAGUCAGAGAGACCCAGAGAAAAGCAGAGAUAUAAACAAGAGACCAAAACAGUGGGAUUGAGAAUGUGCAAGGCUGGAGUGCAGCGCGAUCUCGGCUCACUGCAACCUCUGCCUCCCGGGUUCAAAUGAUUCUCCUGCCUCAGUCUCCCGAGUAGCUGGGAUUACAGUAUGAGGAUCUUGGCUUUUAGAUGGUCCCUUACCUGGUCCUGCUGCUCCUCUGCUUCAAGGUGUCCAUUCAUCUGCUGGUCCU